GUAUCUUUCUAAGGUAUAAAUGUAAAUGUAGUUUAAUAUGAUUCUUCAUCUCACUAAAUAUAUCACCCUAGAAAAAUAAGAUGGAAGAUGCCUAAUUGUUACUUUUUCAAAUUAAUUUCAAAUCCUUUUGUAACAUUUAAAAAAACUUUAGUAUCAUAUUAGGAGUUGUUUUUCACCUUUUCUCAUUUUAAAAAUUCAUAGUAAUAGUUCCUGUUCUGCUCAAAGUUUUAUUUAUCUUUUACUGAUAACUUUCCUUCUUUGUUUUAACAUUCUUUUUUCCCCCACUCAAUCAACAAGGACAUUAUUUUUAUAAAGUUGUAUUUAUAGCAAUAUUUGUUAUAUUAUCUGAUUUUUAAAUGUUUCUUAAGGUGUUG
rnacentral:lncRNA from 1 species